UUCCGGUUGAUCCUGCCGGACCUGACUGCUAUCGGAUUGGUACUAAGCCAUGCGAGUCGUUGUAGCAAUACAAGGCGGACGGCUCAGUAACACGUAGUCAACCUAACCUAUGGACGUGGAUAACCUCGGGAAACUGAGAAUAAACCGCGAUAGAUCAUAAUGCCUGGAAUGGCUUAUGGUUCAAACAAUUUAUUGCCGUAGGAUGGGACUGCGGCCUAUCAGCUUGUUGGUGAGGUAAUGGCCCACCAAGGCUAUAACAGGUACGGGCUCUGAGAGGAGAAGCCCGGAGAUGGGUACUGAGACACGGACCCAGGCCCUAUGGGGCGCAGCAGGCGAGAAACCUUAGCAAUGUGCGAAAGCACGACUAGGUUAAUCCGAGUGGUUCCUGCUAAAGGAACCUUUUGUCAGUCGUAAAACCACAGAUGAAUAAGGGGUGGGCAAGUCUGGUGUCAGCCGCCGCGGUAAUACCAGCACCUCGAGUGGUCAGGAGGUUUAUUGGGCCUAAAGCAUCCGUAGCCGGCUUUGCAAGUCUCCGGUUAAAUCCAGCUGCUCAACAGAUGGGCUGCCGGAGAUACUACAUAGCUAGGGAGCGGGAGAGGCAGACGGUAUUCGGUGGGUAGGGGUAAAAUCCACUGAUCCAUCGAGGACCACCAGUGGCGAAGGCGGUCUGCCAGAACGCGUUCGACGGUGAGGGAUGAAAGCUGGGGGAGCAAACCGGAUUAGAUACCCGGGUAGUCCCAGCUGUAAACGAUGCAAACUCGGUGAUGCAUUGGCUUAUGGCCAUGCAGUGCCGCAGGAGCCGUUAAGUUUGCCGCCUGGGAGUACGGACCGCA
rnacentral:rRNA from 1 species